GCAAUAAUAAGCUCUAGGAAAUUAAUAUUGUUUAUGAGAAGAAUUGCAGUUUUAAUGUUUAUCUUGGCUCAGGAUUGAGUCACAAAGUCCUAAUGAUGCAAACAGUGAAUGCUGAUAUAAUCAAAAAGAAUGCAUAGCCAUUACUGGUAGAAUGUUGGGAAGGUGGGAGGAAUGGUGUGGGAGUGUUAAGUCCUCAUUUCCUGUAAUACAAAGUCAACAGAUGCCUAUUAAAAGGUAACAGUAUAAACUUCUUCAUCACAAACAUAUACCCUGGCCAUCUGUCAAAACACUAUGAAACCACAAGACUCAAGGAUCCCUGGACUUCUUUUAGCAUUAGCAUUGUUAUAGUACACAUUAAGCAGAGAACUGAAGAGCAUGUGAGUUCUAAGAUCCUUGUCCUAAGUGUACUUCUCUAGAAUUAGUAUUUAUAAAACACAUUAUCUACACAU